UCAGACGAUGCGUCAUGCAUAUCAAUAAGCGGAGGAAAAGAAACUAACAAGGAUUCCCCUAGUAACGGCGAGUGAAGCGGGAAGAGCUCAAAUUUGAAAUCUUAAAGGGUUUCCCUUUACGAAUUGUAGUUUAAAGAAGUGUUUUCUGUUGAGGUUUUGGUAAAAGUUCUUUGGAAUAGGACAUCAUAGAGGGUGAGAAUCCCGUAUUUGACCUUUACUUUCAACUUUGUGAUACACUUUCAAAGAGUCGGAUUGUUUGGGAAUGCAGUCCAAAAUGGGUGGUAAAUUUCAUCUAAAGCUAAAUAUUGGCGAGAGACCGAUAGCGAACAAGUACCGUGAGGGAAAGAUGAAAAGAACUUUGAAAAGAGAGUUAAACAGUACGUGAAAUUGUCAAAAGGGAAGCGUUUGACACCAGUGUUGUUUUUCUGAAAAUCAAUUAAAGAACUGUUUAUGCUAAGCUGUUUAGACUUUAUCAGCUAACUGUUUAGUUUUGAGCUUUUCUUUAAUGCACUUUUCAGUUAACAAGUCAACAUCAAUUUCUUUUGCUGUAAAAAAGCUUGAGGAAGGUGGCUUGAGAUUCGUCUUAAGUGUUUAUAGCCUCUUGCCUAUGCAGUCGGAGAGAUUGAGGUCUGCAGCGUAGAUCCUUCGGGGCUAAAUGCAUUUGUGCUAAGUUAUAGCAUUUUAUAGACAACUUGUUGACUAUGAUUUGUCUUGUAGCUUACUCGCUUAUGUUAUUUUACCUACGCUUAGGAUGUUGAAUCUGUGCGAGACUAC
rnacentral:rRNA from 1 species